rnacentral:tRNA from 1 species
GGGGAUUUAGCUCAGUGGUAGAGCGCUUGCCUUGCAAGCACAAGGCCCUGGGUUCAGUCCCCAGCUCCU